rnacentral:piRNA from 1 species
UUGGUUAUACGAUCCAAACUAACUUGUAAAG